rnacentral:rRNA from 1 species
AGUGAACGCUGGCGGUAGGCCUAACACAUGCAAGUCGAACGGCAGCACAGUAAGAGCUUGCUCUUACGGGUGGCGAGUGGCGGACGGGUGAGGAAUACAUCGGAAUCUACUUUUUCGUGGGGGAUAACGUAGGGAAACUUACGCUAAUACCGCAUACGACCUACGGUUGAAAGCAGGGGAUCUUCUGACCUUGCGCGAUUGAAUGAGCCGCUGUCGGAUUAGCUAGUUGGCGGGGUAAAGGCCCACCAAGGCGACGAUCCGUAGCUGGUCUGAGAGGAUGAUCAGCCACACUGGAACUGAGACACGGUCCAGACUCCUACGGGAGGCAGCAGUGGGGAAUAUUGGACAAUGGGCGCAAGCCUGAUCCAGCCAUACCGCGUGGGUGAAGAAGGCCUUCGGGUUGUAAAGCCCUUUUGUUGGGAAAGAAAAGCAGCAGGUUAAUACCCCGCUGUUCUGACGGUACCCAAAGAAUAAGCACCGGCUAACUUCGUG